UUAAUACAAUCGUUAGGUGAGGCUCCUAUACAGAUACACGCUGCUGCCCGGAAACAUCGAGAGAUGCUAACGGGUCAACAAGUAUUACCGAAUUAAGGUUUUACUUAAUGCAGCUGGAGGAUGCUCCAAAGCUGUAUAGUGCCAAAGCUCAACGAAUUGAAAUGU
rnacentral:sRNA from 22 species